UGGGCAAAUGCCGGAGGAACUACAGCCUCUUAAGCUCGUGGUCGCGGGUUCGAGUCCCGCCUCUGCCACUCGACGGCAGGGUAGCUCAGCGGUAGAGCACGAAAACGUUUCUCCAACCCUGGUUGCCUGCAC
rfam:Cardiobacterium hominis ATCC 15826 genomic scaffold SCAFFOLD4, whole genome shotgun sequence.